UUGCUUCGGCAGCACAUAUACUAAAAUCUGAACAAUGCAGAGAAGGUUAGCAUGGCCCCUGAGCAAGGACGACAGGCAAAUUCGUGAAGUGUUCCGUAUUUUU
rnacentral:snRNA from 1 species